GUGGAACUGUCUCAGAAGGAUUAGGAGAUGUUGGCCUGUUGGAAGGGGUCUCUCUGCAUCUUGUGUUUGUAGUCUCAAGAUAUGAGCUCUCAGCUACCGCUCCAGUGAAUGCCUGCUUGCCUUCUGUUAUGAUGGUCACAGACUAACCCUCUGAAAAUCUCUCUUCAGAGCCUGUGCUGAUGGUGGUGACAACUGUUUGUAUGACCUCACUGAAGGAGAGAGAGAAAAGAAUGCUCCUGUGAGCAACAAACCAAAAAAUGCAAGAAAUGGAAGAAAAACCAAACCAAAAAAAUCCAGCAAAGCCAAAAUUGUAAGAAACAUGCAUCUUUCUUGCUUUUUAUUAAUUUAAAAAUCAUCAUCAUAUUUGAUUGGUUAAAGGAAUGUAAUAUCUAUAAACAGGUUUAAAUGUGAGGUCCAAACAUAGACUAUCAGUACCUAGGGAGAAAGACCAUCCGUCCUACAUGUUCUGAAAAUAAUGUCAACAUGAAAAUCAUCUCUAAGUUUCCUUUUUCACAAAGAUUAAAUUAUCUGUGUGUGAAUGUAUGCCACAUGUAUGCAGGUGAUCCAAAAAAAAAAACGUAGAGGAAGUGUCAGAUACCACAAAACUUGAAUCACAGAUGGUGUAGACACUCUGUGUGGGUAGUGAAUUCAACUUUGGUCUUUGGUAAAAGCAGCAAUCCCUCGUAACAUCUCUUCAGCCACUAUCUAAUUAUCUAAUCAUAUGAGGUCAUGAACAAGCUGAUAGAUUUUUUAAAAAUAGCAUUAAAACAAAAGAAAGUAAUAUAGGAUAUUGCAUAAUGAUUCCAUACAGCUCAGGCCAUGUUUGUUUAGCACAGAGAAUUAAUAGGCUAUGCAUCCUAAGGUAAUUUCUGUGCCUGCUGCGUUUGGGGAUAUGUGAUUGUGUUUAGACUGAUCCCUGAGAAGAUAUACCUCACUAGUGCUCGCAUGAAUGCCUUUGAUGGGAAGUCUCAAACUAACACAAUUUAGUCAAAAGUCCAUAGCUGUUUAGCUACUAUGCAGAAGAAAAGAAAGAAAGGGGUUUUAUAUUGAUGAUUUUAGACAGGUGAGACACACAGCAUGGGAAUUCUCCCAAUACUGAAGAAACCCAGAAAAUGAAUCAAGGUGCUAAAGGUCUAUAGUUUCUCAAAGGAAAAGCCAGAUUUUUGUAAACUUUACUUUCAAAAAUCUUCUCUGGGAGGACUUGAGUCAAUGUCUUAUUUUAUCCAAAUUGGCUUUCACGUCUGUAACUAUUAUUAGAGCUGUUGAGUUUUGCUUGCAAGUGUUGUAGAUCCUGUGGUUCCCACGUUUUGUCAAACAACAGAAUCACCUGAAAAUAUUUCUGUAGUUAAAAUGUGCAAUAAAUUCAGGUGGCUGUUUGAACACA